rnacentral:rRNA from 1 species
AGGGACGCCCUUAAUGAGAGCGUAGAACUUCCAUUGAAGGUAGCCUGAGUAGGCUCUACAACGCCGAAAUGACCUUCUCACCCUUGUGUACUGACUAUGUUGCUUUGGCGGGUCGACGUGGUUCCGACCCAGGCGGCCGGCGCCCCCAGCCUUAACUGGCCAGGACGCCCGGCUAAGUGCCCGCCAGUAUACAAAACUCAAGAAUUCAUUUUGUGAAGUCCUGAUAUAUCAUUUAAUUGAUUAAAACUUUCAACAACGGAUCUCUUGGUUCUGGCAUCGAUGAAGAACGCAUUGAAAUGCGAUAAGUAAUGUGAAUUGCAGAAUUCAGUGAAUCAUCGAAUCUUUGAACGCACAUUGCGCCCUCUGGUAUUCCGGAGGGCAUGCCUGUUCGAGCGUCAUUUCAACCCUCAAGCUCUGCUUGGUAUUGGGCAACGUCCGCUGCCGNACGUGCCUUGAAGGACUCGGCGACGGCGUCCUAGCCUCGAGCGUAGUAUUAAAAUAUCUCGCNUUGGAGCGCUGGGCNACGCCCGCGGACAAUCGACCUUCGGUCUAUUUUUCAAGGUUGACCUCGGAUCAGGUAGGGAUACCCGCUGAACUAAGC